rnacentral:snoRNA from 2 species
UUGAAGGAAAGUCAAGAGAUUCCCAUUGAUUUCUAAUCGAAAUAUGAUAUUUAAUUUAAAGCCAUAUAUUUCAG